rnacentral:rRNA from 1 species
UACGUAGGGUGCGAGCGUUUAAUCGGAAUUACUGGGCGUAAAGCGUGCGCAGGCGGUUUUGUAAGCCAGAUGUGAAAUCCCCGGGCUCAACCUGGGAAUGGCAUUUGGGACUGCAAGGCUUGAGUGCGGCAGAGGAGACUGGAAUUCCUGGUGUAGCAGUGAAAUGCGUAGAUAUCAGGAGGAAUACCGAUGGCGAAGGCAGGUCUCUGGGCUGACACUGACGCUCAUGCACGAAAGCGUGGGGAGCGAACAGG